UAUUAUCUAACAAUUUUUAUUUCCUUAUUUGAUGAUUUGAUUGAAUGAUUUUCUUUUAAAACCCUAAAAUUCUACCUCGUCUAUUUAAAUUGACUGAUCUCCUAACUUAUUUGUUGUGGUACUUUGUUCUUACUGAAUUAUUUCCUUAAUUGGAGUUUACUAAACUUAGUCCUAAUUGGCUACCUUCUGCUUAGUGAACUUUGAUUCUUUCCUUAUCAGUCAUAUACUAAUUUUUUUGCCUUAUAUGCUACUGGUUCUCGCCAUUUGAAUGAAUUCCCUUAGCUUAAGGGAGUACUUGCCUUGAUUUUCUAACUGUCUGACUCUAAGUUCCUCAAUUACUAUGCUACUUUCAUUCUUACCUUAUUUACUACCUUCUUUCAAACUAUAUAUAUGCUCUCUCAUUAACACACACACACGAACACUUGGGUUUAAAACUAUCUCUCAAUCUUAACAAAUCUCUGCGCUCUUUCUCUCUUGUGCUACUUGCUACUGUUCUAUGUUAGCCGGGUGGAAGACAAGGCUAACCAUUUGGGCUCUCUUGUUCUUUCAUUCUUCUUACUCUCCUCUUCACUAGCAUGUCCUAGUUUCGAUUCAAAGUUCC
rnacentral:lncRNA from 1 species